GAUGAACGCUAGCGGGAGGCCUAAUACAUGCAAGUCGAACGGUAAGGUCCUUCGGAUACACGAGUGGCGGACGGGUGGCGUAACGCGUACGGAAUAUACCUUCAACAGGGAGAUACCUCCGGGAACUGGAAUUAAUACCCCAUAGUAUUAUAGAUUCGCAUGAAUUUAUUGAUUAAAGCUCAGGCGGUUGAAGAUUAUCGUGCGUCUGAUUAGGUAGUUGGUAGGGUAAUGGCCUACCAAGCCAACGAUCAGUAGCUGGUCUGAGAGGAUGAUCAGCCACACUGGAACUGAGACACGGUCCAGACUCCUACGGGAGGCAGCAGUAGGGAAUAUUGGGCAAUGGAGGCAACUCUGACCCAGCCAUCCCGCGUGCAGGAAUAAGGCCCUAUGGGUUGUAAACUGC
rnacentral:rRNA from 1 species